rnacentral:misc_RNA from 1 species
GAUUCAAUUUACACAUAACUUGAGAGAGAAAAGAGAAAUAUUGACUAAGCUCUGUACUAGAACUAUUCAGGUCAGUGUCUAACUGAAAAACUGACAAUUAGAGGUUAGAGGGAUUUUACUGUGCAAAUUUUGAAAGUUGAAGGGGUUUUAUGUUACAUUUUUAAGUUGAAGGACUAUAAUGUUAUACUAGAUAAGUUCAGGGACAGUUGUUAAAAUUUAUUCUCAUUUUAA